UUACACGUAAAUCGCAUGCGAAACCCGCACGGUUCAAAUAAGAAUGCAUUUUCAAGUAUAAUUACAUGUAGUAGCAUGAACGGCACAACAGUUGUAAACAAAGUCUUUGUUCGUUUGCUGUUUGUUCCGGCGGAUUAUUCAAUCAUAAUUGGUGGCGACAAAAUACUUAACAAAAAAAACAAUAUUUUGCUUUGGAUUCACUCCGCAGCAAAAUCCAAGGAUGGAAUUCUGCCAGAGGGUGGAAGAUAAACGAAGAAAGCUCGGAUUCUCUCAGUCUGCCAACAAACAAGGCUGCCGAAAUUGUAUGGCUGCAUUUUUUCUGCAAAUAACACGCCAGCCGUCGUUACCGUCGUCGGGGGAAAACUAAUAAAUAGAUCGGACUGUGUGUUAAAAUUUAAGUGAAAAGUGAGGUGAAAUAAUUAUUUGAUCUUCAGUGAACUGUUUGUCUUUAUAUUGAAUGUAGUUGAUGUGUGAGAUGUAUAAUAAAAGUUGUUAUCAAAA